rnacentral:rRNA from 1 species
GGANGGUCCGGGCGNUAUCCGGACUUANNGGGUNUAAAGGGAGCGCAGGCGGACCNNUAAGNCAGCNGUGAAAUACGGCGGCUCAACCGUCGAACUGCAGUNGAUACUGGAGGNCUNGAGUGCACACAGGGAUGCUGGAAUUUCAUGGUGUAGCGGUGAAAUGCUCAGAUAUCACGAAGAACUCCGAUNGCGAAGGCAGCUCACUGGAGCGCAACUGACGCUGAAGCUCGAAAGUGCGGGUAUCGAACAGGAUUAGAUACCCUGGUAGUCCGCACGGUAAACGAUGGAUGCCCGCUGUUGGCCUGAAUAGGUCAGCGGCCAAGCGAAAGCAUUAAGCAUCCCACCUGGGGAGU